rnacentral:rRNA from 1 species
GACGAACGCUGGCGGCGUGCUUAACACAUGCAAGUCGAACGGAAAGGCCCUGCUUUUGUGGGGUGCUCGAGUGGCGAACGGGUGAGUAACACGUGAGUAACCUGCCCUUGACUUUGGGAUAACUUCAGGAAACUGGGGCUAAUACCGGAUAGGAGCUCCUGCUGCAUGGUGGGGGUUGGAAAGUUUCGGCGGUUGGGGAUGGACUCGCGGCUUAUCAGCUUGUUGGUGGGGUAGUGGCUUACCAAGGCUUCGACGGGUAGCCGGCCUGAGAGGGUGACCGGCCACAUUGGGACUGAGAUACGGCCCAGACUCCUACGGGAGGCAGCAGUGGGGAAUAUUGCACAAUGGGUGGAAGCCUGAUGCAGCAACGCCGUGUGCGGGAUGACGGCCUUCGGGUUGUAAACCGCUUUCGCUCAUGACGAAGCUUUGUGUGACGGUAGUGUGUAAAGAAGCACCGGCUAACUACGUG